AGAUCACUCAAAGCCACUCGAAGGCAUCUAGUCUCUACAAAAAAUCCAUGCGAAGACUGACAUCGAUCAGGGUCCUUGGAGGUGCUAGCCUAUAAGGAACUUUGAUGGCUGAUAUCUUCCUUCUUCUUCAAACACCUUGGAUACUCCAAAGCAAUAGGAUAUCUAAAGGAGAAAGAGAGGAAGAGGAGAAGAGCUCUGAAAAAAUAAAAAUCAGCAAGGGAGGAAUUGAUGUGAUGCC
rnacentral:lncRNA from 1 species